rnacentral:rRNA from 1 species
UAACCUGCCUGGUAGCGGGGGAUAACUAUUGGAAACGAUAGCUAAUACCGCAUAAGAGUAGAUGUUGCAUGACAUUUACUUAAAAGGUGCAAUUGCAUCACUACCAGAUGGACCUGCGUUGUAUUAGCUAGUUGGUGAGGUAACGGCUCACCAAGGCAACGAUACAUAGCCGACCUGAGAGAGUGAUCGGCCACACUGGGACUGAGACACGGCCCAG